rnacentral:rRNA from 1 species
UACGUAGGGGGCUAGCGUUGUUCGGAAUCAUUGGGCGUAAAGCGCGUGUAGGCGGCUUCGUCAGUCCGUUGUGAAAGUCCAGGGCUCAACCCUGGAAUGCCGAUGGAUACUGCGGAGCUAGAGUCCGGAAGAGGCGAGUGGAAUUCCUGGUGUAGCGGUGAAAUGCGCAGAUAUCAGGAGGAACACCAAUGGCGAAGGCAGCUCGCUGGGACGGCACUGACGCUGAGACGCGAAAGCGUGGGGAGCAAACAGG